AACCUUUAACAUCCGAUAGUUUUAUUAUCUAGAGCUCUGUAAAAAAAUAUACAAAAAAAAAUAUAAAAAAUGAAAAUACCAAAAAAUAAUAUGAUGACAAAACUGUUUGUAAACAGAGUUCUAGAUAAUAAACAUUGAGGGUGGUGUAAAAGGUGGGAUUAUUGUAAUAUUUUUUAUGACCCCCACCUUAAAGUCUUCUAAAGUUAUCAUUUUUAAAACAAACAAAAAUUGGAAUGGCAAUUUAAAAAGUAUAUAGUUCCUAUGUGUAGGGACAGUGCCACUCUGCACGUUAAAGAACCCUUGCCACAAGUCUUUGAGGCCUGGUCAGUAGGUGGCCUGUUGCAAGGCUUAAUUUCUGUCCAACAUAUCCUCCUCUCAGUUGGCAGUCAAAAUUUCCCUUACCUUCAUCAUAGGCCCACUUUAUAGAACCUACAAAUUGAUUUGUUAUGAAAUGAAGAGAUGUGAGACAACUAUCCUACAGAGACCAAAUGAUGUUGAUGUAAAAUAGGUUACUGUAUGGACUUCAACAAUGAGAAAAUCAUCCAACAUUAAAAUUUUGCAAUAUUCUGAAUAAGAAUGACUUUGUUAAUACCUCUAACCUUUAACAUCUGAUAUUUUUAUUAUCUAGAGCUCUGUAAAAAAAUAUACAAAAAAAUAUAAAAAAUGAAAAUACCAAAAAAUAAUAUAUGAAAACAAAAUCGUUUGUAAACAGAGUUCUAGAUAAUAAACAUUGAGGGUGGUGUAAAAGGUGGGAUUAUUGUAAUAUUUUUUAUGACCCCCGCCUUAAAGUCUUCUAAAGUUAUCAUUUUUAAAACAAACAAAAAUUGGAAUGGCAAUUUAAAAAGUAUAUAGUUCCUAUGUGUAGGGACAGUGCCACUCUGCACGUUAAAGAACCCUUGCCACAAGUCUUUGAGGCCUGGUCAGUAGGUGGCCUGUUGCAAGGCUUAAUUUCUGUCCAACAUAUCCUCCUCUCAGUUGGCGGUCAAAAUUUCCCUUACCUUCAUCAUAGGCCCACUUUAUAGAACCUACAAAUUGAUUUGUUAUGAAAUGAAGAGAUGCGAGACAACUAUCCUACAGAGACCAAAUGAAGUUGCAUAAAAUCAACUAACAUUAAAAUUUUGAAAUAUUCUGAAUUAGAAUGACUUUGUUAAUACCUCUAACCUUUAACAUCUGAUAUUUUUAUUAUCUAGAGCUCUGUAAAAAAAAAUAUCAAAAAAAAUAUAAAAAAUGAAAAUACCAAAAAAUAAUAUAUGAAAACAAAAUCGUUUGUAAACAGAGUUCUAGAUAAUAAACAUUGAGGGUGGUGUAAAAGGUGGGAUUAUUGUAAUAUUUUUUAUGACCCCCGCCUUAAAGUCUUCUAAAGUUAUCAUUUUUAAAACAAACAAAAAUUGGAAUGGCAAUUUAAAAAGUAUAUAGUUUCUAUGUGUAGGGACAGUGCCACUCUGCACGUUAAAGAACCCUUGCCACAAGUCUUUGAGGCCUGGUCAGUAGGUGGCCUGUUGCAAGGCUUAAUUUCUGUCCAACAUAUCCUCCUCUCUGUUGGCAGUCAAAAUUUCCCCUACCUUCAUCAUAGGCCCACUUUAUAGAACCUACAAAUUGAUUUGUUAUGAAAUGAAGAGAUGUGAGACAUUACUAUCCUACAGAGACCAAAUGAUGUUGAUGUAAAAUAGGUUACUGUAUGGACUUCAACAAUGAGAAAAUCAACCAACAUUAAAAUUUUGCAAUAUUCUGAAUUAGAAUGACUUUGUUAAUACCUCUAACCUUUAACAUCCGAUAGUUUUAUUAUCUAGAGCUCUGUAAAAAAAUAUACAAAAAAAAUUAUAAAAAAUGAAAAUACCAAAAAAUAAUAUGAUAACAAAACUGUUUGUAAACAGAGUUCUAGAUAAUAAACAUUGAGGGUGGUGUAAAAGGUGGGAUUAUUGUAAUAUUUUUUAUGACCCCCGCCUUAAAGUCUUCUAAAGUUUUCAUUUUUAAAACAAACAAAAAUUGGAAUGGCAAUUUAAAAAGUAUAUAGUUCCUAUGUGUAGGGACAGUGCCACUCUGCACGUUAAAGAACCCUUGCCACAAGUCUUUGAGGGGUCAGUAGGUGGCCUGUUGCAAGGCUUAAUUUCUGCCCAACAUAUCCUCCUCUCAGUUGACAGUCAAAAUUUUCCUUACCUUCAUCGGCCCACUUUAUAGAACCUACAAAUUGAUUUGUUAUGAAAUGAAGAGAUGCGAGACAACUAUCCUACAGAGACCAAAUGAAGUUGCAUGUUACUGUAUGGACUUCAACAAUGAGAAAAUCAACUAACAUUAAAAUUUUGCAAUAUUCUGAUUUUAGAAUGACUUUGCCCCUAACCUUUAAAAUCUGAUAUUUUUAUUAUUUAGAGCUCUGUAAAAAAAUAUGAAUAAAAAAAGAAAAUACCAAAAAAUAUGAAAACAAAAUCGUUUGUAAACAGAGUUCUAGAUAAUAAACAUUGAGGAUGUUGUAAAAAGUAGGCAUAUUUAAAAUUUUGUUUAUUAUUAUGAAUAGUGCACUGUAUAAUUUUUAAAAAUGUGUAUUGUGAAGUCUUGGAAAAUUGUGAAACUUUAGAACUGUGUUUAUUUGAGAAGUCUAUAUUCAGUCUUCAAUGAUUGUCAUGGCAAUUGAGGACAAUAAAAUAUAGCUCUGUGUAGAAACUGACUUUUUUAUAUCAAGAAAGAUCCAACAAAAGUUUUCAAUGAUAUCUAAAGAGACAAAAGACAGAAAUACUAAAAGGUUUUCUAUGAGAUUGGUGGAUUAUGUACAGUCAGACAACUGGCACACUCAAGCUAAAAGUUAAAUAGCUAUUAAAAUAAAAUUAUGGACUUGUAUAAUAACAUUAAUGAAGACAGAUGUUCUAAAGUGAAGACAUGUUCCUUCAUAAUGUUCUAUAGUGAAGACAUGUUCCUACAUAAUGUUCUAUAGUGAAGACAUGUUCCUACAUAAUGUUCUAUAGUGAAGACAUGUUCCUACAUAAUGUUCUAUAGUGAAGACAUGUUCCUACAUAAUGUUCUAUAGUGAAGACAUGUUCCUACAUAAUGUUCUAUAGUGAAGACAUGUUCCUACAUAAUGUUCUAUAGUGAAGACAUAUUCAUACAUAUUGUUGUAUAGUGAAGACAUAUUCCUACAUAUUGUUCUAUAGUGAAGACAUGUUCCUACAUAAUGUCUUAUAGUGAAGACGUAUUCCUACAUAUUGUUCUAUAGUGAAGACAUGUUCCUACAUAAUGUCUUAUAGUGCAGACAUGUUCCUACAUAAUGUUCUAUAGUGAAGACAGAUGUUCUAUAGCACAAACAGAUGUUCCUAAGUUGCAAUGAAGUGUUCAGAAGACAGACAGACAGAGUUUCCUUUUGCAAUGAAAUUAUCCAGAACACAUAGUUGAUUAGAUUUCCAGUUCAUUACAUAUUCUGACAUUUUCUCAAGAAAAACGCAAGAUUUCAAUGUUCAACCUGAAAGGAGAAAUUCUUAAAAUUUAUGCUGGACAUCUCAUAUCAAGGAUCCAUCACAAUAUUGAUAUUAGACUUAUGAAGAAUUUUCUGAUAAAUUAAUGAUGUACGACAAAUCGUGCUACAAGUAUCAUACCAGCAGAAUUAUUUGAUGGGAGUAAAACAUAGGAGCAGGAUCUCACCUCAUACAAGUGAGGAGGAACAGUUGAACUGAUGAACUUGGAAACAUCUGAAAGGUAAUAAUACAUAAGAAAAACAGACCACCUAGAAUAAGAAAAGAGAAAGAGUUAACUCAUAGAGUAAAGGGUAAAAACAGACCACAUAGAAUAAGGAAAGAGAAAGAUUAACUCAUAGAGUAAAGGGUAGACGAAACUAUCAACACUUUGAAAUUAACAAGAGCAAUAAUCAACAUAACAGCUGCUUCAUCACCAUCUCAGAGGUUAGGUCUCUAACUGACUCAAUUGAUGAACUUAUAACAAGCUUAACAGAUCAUCAGCAUAGUUGAACAAUGAACACUUCAGAGACAAAAUAUUCUUGGCAAUGAAAAUAUAUGACUGAAAUUUCAUAAUUGUUUAUGGUCAGUGGGAGAGAGAGAAAGAUGUAGAAUGGUCAGAGUGGGAGAGGGAGAACACUUAUGAUGAUGAGUGGGGAGAAAUAAAGAACAAUUAUUGCAACUGAUAAAUUUGUCUUCAACCAAACUCAUGGCUUGUGUUGAUGUGUCUAACCUUAGACAUCUGAUAUUUUUAUUAUCUAGAGCUCUGUUUAAAAAAAAAAAUGUAAAAAAUAAUAUGAAAACAAAUUUUAAACAGUUCUAGAUAAUAAACAUUAAGGGUGGUGUAAAAAGUGGGCAUAUUUUAAAUUUUCUUUUUUACACCAAUGUAUUUAUGAAAUUUAAAACUUUAAAGUCAGAAUGUUUAAUUGGACGUACAAUUGUUUUGAUUUUAGAUAUUUGGAGACAAAACCUAUUCUUCUCCAUUUAUUACU